UACAGAGGGUGCAAGCGUUAAUCGGAAUUACUGGGCGUAAGGCGUGCGUAGACGGUAGCGUAAGUCGGGUGUGAAAGCCCCGGGCUCAACCUGGGAAUGGCAUUCGAGACUGCUCUGCUAGGGUGCGGAAGAGGGGAGCGGAAUUUCCGGUGUAGCGGUGAAAUGCGUAGAUAUCGGAAGGAACACCAGUGGCGAAAGCGGCUCCCUGGUCCAGCACCGACGUUCAGGCACGAAAGCGUGGGGAGCAAACAGG
rnacentral:rRNA from 1 species